rnacentral:rRNA from 1 species
GAUGAACGCUGGCGGCGUGCCUAAUACAUGCAAGUCGAGCGAACAGACGAGGAGCUUGCUCCUCUGACGUUAGCGGCGGACGGGUGAGUAACACGUGGAUAACCUACCUAUAAGACUGGGAUAACUUCGGGAAACCGGAGCUAAUACCGGAUAAUAUAUUGAACCGCAUGGUUCAAUAGUGAAAGACGGUUUUGCUGUCACUUAUAGAUGGAUCCGCGCCGCAUUAGCUAGUUGGUAAGGUAACGGCUUACCAAGGCAACGAUGCGUAGCCGACCUGAGAGGGUGACCGGCCACACUGGAACUGAGACACGGUCCAGACGCCUAAGGGAGGCAGCAGUAGGGAAUCUUCCGCAAUGGGCGAAAGCCUGACGGAGCAACGCCGCGUGAGUGAUGAAGGUCUUCGGAUCGUAAAACUCUGUUAUGAGGGAAGAACAAAUGUGUAAGUAACUAUGCACGUCUUGACGGUACCUAAUCAGAAGGCCACGGCUAACUACGUG